rnacentral:rRNA from 1 species
AGUAAUACAUAAUAACCUGCCCUAGACAGGGGGAUAACUAUUGGAAACGAUAGCUAAGACCGCAUAGGUACGGACACUGCAUGGUGACCGUAUUAAAAGUGCCUCAAAGCACUGGUAGAGGAUGGACUUAUGGCGCAUUAGCUGGUUGGCGGGGUAACGGCCCACCAAGGCGACGAUGCGUAGCCGACCUGAGAGGGUGACCGGCCACACUGGGACUGAGACACGGCCCAG